UGGGGAAUCUUGCGCAAUGGGCGAAAGCCUGACGCAGCGACGCCGCGUGGGGGAAGAAGGCCUUCGGGUUGUAAACCUCUUUCAGCAGGGACGAAGCCACUCGGGUGAAUAGCCCAGAGGGUGACGGUACCUGCAGAAGAAGCCCCGGCUAACUACGUGCCAGCAGCCGCGGUAAUACGUAGGGGGCAAGCGUUGUCCGGAUUUAUUGGGCGUAAAGAGCGUGUAGGCGGCCAGACAGGUCCGUUGUGAAAACUAGAGGCUUAACCUCUAGACGUCGAUGGAAACCGUCUGGCUAGAGUCCGGAAGAGGAGAAUGGAAUUCCUGGUGUAGCGGUGAAAUGCGCAGAUAUCAGGAAGAACACCCGUGGCUAAGGCGGUUCUCUAGUACGGUACUGACGCUGAGACGCGAAAGCGUGGGGAGCGAACAGG
rnacentral:rRNA from 3 species